GCUUUCUCCUUCCCUCUGUCUUCCAGUCUUCCACCAGCACUUGCUAUCAGUGCAGCUGAGCUGGCCACCAGGUGGGAAAAGAACUUGGACAUGCAGCAUCCAGGAGCCAGCUUCUCUGUAGCACGGAACAGCGCAGGGGAAAGGGUAGGAACGGAUCCAGGUGCAGACAGGCCCAGCACCAGUACUGCAUCCAUCAGGAAGCUAGAAAAAGAGGUUACGGUACACAUUUCUUAUCUCACAACUCUCGGGGCUGGAAAGCUGAGAUCCAGGUGAGGCAGUGUGGCACGAGAUUGCGGUGUGGCAAACUGGCUGAGAAAGUAGGCAUGACCUGUGAAUAAAGGAGAUCCCGUAAAUGUACAGAAAAACAGUACCCCAAGCCUGGGCCAGAGAAUGCUAUCUUCAGUUCUUCUCCUGAGGACUCAAGCAAGUCUUUGGUAGGACAGCCUAGAUCUGACCUCAGCCUGAGGAAUGGGAGAUAAGAAAAGAUGACCAGCAGCCAGCCAUGGCGCCUGUGCUCUCAUUCACAGUGGUCCACUCAUCCUGUACAAGCUACUUCUUUUCCUAAUUUUAAUCGGCCAGUAUGGUACUUGCUGUGCAGAGCCUGUUUCUUUGCCUGCCUUUAAUAAAUGUAAAACCUCACUACCUUUACCAUUGUUUUGUCCAAUUCUUUGUUCAGGGCAAGAAGAACCUAGAAAGAAUGUCUACAAGAGUCCCCCGCACCUUGUAACAGCAGGGCUCCUCUCUUCUGAGACCUGUCUCCUUGGUUUGUCAGUGGCCAUCUUCUCCCUCAGUCUUCACGUGCUCUUCUCUUAGCUGUGUGUCUGUGUCAUCCGUGGGAACCUUUUCACUGUAACUUGAUUGUUAAUUUAUAUAUCUUAGGCAAGUCUCAC
rnacentral:lncRNA from 1 species